UGCUGCGGGCGGCGUUCCGACGAUUGCAUCACCGCGGUGUGGCUGUUUCACCUCCGUGAUGCAAUCGUCGGAACGCCGCCCGCAGCA
rnacentral:misc_RNA from 1 species